CUUUGCUUCUUUAUUUAUUUAUUUAUUUAUUUAUUUCUCCCCCCCUCCCCCCGCCCCAGUUGUCUGCUCUCUGUGUCCAUUCGCUGUGUGUUCUUCUGUGUCCGCUUCUAUUCCUGUCGGUGGCACCGGGAAUCUGUGUCCUUUUUGUUGCGUCAUCUUGCUGCAUCAGCUCUCCAUGUGUGUGGUGCCACUCCUGGACAGGCUGUGCUUUUUUUGCGCUGGGCAGCUAUCCUUACAGGAUGCACUCCUUGAGCACCCCUGCGUUGCUUUGCAUUCCUUGCACGCAUCAGCACUGUGGGUGGGCCAGCUCCACACGGGUCAAGGAGGCCCUGGGUUUGAACUCUGGACCUCCCGUGUGGUAGGCAGAUGCUCUAUCCAUUGAGCCAAGUCCACUUCCCAGUCUUUGCUUCUUCACGUGACUGGGAAUGGGAAUCCAGAGGCCGAGUGCUGCCAUGACUUACAGUGCCUUCUAAGCAAGCCACCCCUUCUCCGGGCCAGGAAGAUGUCGGCCACCGGUGGCCUGAGCAGGACCAUGGCCUAAAUGACCUCUGGCAACCUACCACUCUGAUAUACCAGGAUUCAUCUCUGCUCGUCUUCCAGUAAGCCAAGGUGUGAGCUGUGGGAUGUUGGUCUUCGGCCCCCUUCUUUCUCAAUGCUGCUGCCCGAGCCGACAACCACUACGGCAGGGGCUGGAGGACGUCUCUGCAGAAGCCACCCCCCAGCGCCAAGAUACAUCCACCAAGGCGCUUCACAAAGGCCUUUUAAGGAUAAGGACUAUGGUGCUGAUGCCUCCGCUGGAGGAAGAGGAAAGACCGGCCAGAACAGAGCCCACCCUUGCCGCCCCCACCCCUGUGCAGCUCCCUUGGCAACUCCCUCCAAAUCCACCCCCGAUGAGAAACUCAGACGGCUCAGUUUUUGAUUCACAGUUCAGUUCUGCUGACGCCCCAGUUUACAGUGGACAGACUCCUAUAAUGGGCAGCAUGAAUCUCAGCUUUCAGCUCGACACUCCACCGGGGUUGAUGACAAGGGGGCAAAUGGGUUGAUGGACUUCGGCCUUUGAUCCACAUGGAGGAGGAUGCCGCAUGUUGGGCAUUCCGGCCAAAAAAUGGCUCCCAGGAGCCUCUGGCUGGGUCUCUCAUUCCUCUUUCACAUUUUCUUCUUUCUUCCUUUUUUUUUUUUUUUUAAUUAAAGCAUUGGCUGCUUAUUAAAAUGCAAAGUCUCUGAAAGAAGCAAUUAUUAUUAUUUGCUCCUUCA
rnacentral:lncRNA from 1 species